UACGAAGGGGGCUAGCGUUGUUCGGAAUUACUGGGCGUAAAGGGCGCGUAGGCGGUGUGUCAAGUCAGGCGUGAAAGCCCCGGGCUCAACCUGGGAACAGCGCUUGAGACUGGCACGCUCGAGUUCGGGAGAGGAUGGUGGAAUUCCCAGUGUUGAGGUGAAAUUCGUAGAUAUUGGGAAGAACACCGAUGGCGAAGGCAGCCAUCUGGACCGACACUGACGCUGAGGCGCGAAGGCGUGGGGAGCAAACAGG
rnacentral:rRNA from 1 species